UACGGAGGGGGCAAGCGUUGUUCGGAAUCAUUGGGCGUAAAGGGCGCGUAGGCGGCCGAUCAAGUCGGGUGUGAAAUCCCUCGGCUCAACCGAGGAACUGCACUCGAUACUGUUCGGCUAGAGUCCGGGAGGGGAUGGUGGAAUUCCCAGUGUAGCGGUGAAAUGCGUAGAUAUUGGGAAGAACACCGGUGGCGAAGGCGGCCAUCUGGACCGGCACUGACGCUGAGGCGCGAAAGCCAGGGGAGCAAACGGG
rnacentral:rRNA from 1 species